AUUGAACGCUGGCGGCAUGCCUUACACAUGCAAGUCGAACGGCAGCACGGGAGCAAUCCUGGUGGCGAGUGGCGAACGGGUGAGUAAUGUAUCGGAACGUGCCCAGUCGUGGGGGAUAACGUAGCGAAAGCUACGCUAAUACCGCAUACGAUCUGUGGAUGAAAGCGGGGGACCGUAAGGCCUCGCGCGAUUGGAGCGGCCGAUAUCAGAUUAGGUAGUUGGUGGGGUAAAGGCCUACCAAGCCGACGAUCUGUAGCUGGUCUGAGAGGACGACCAGCCACACUGGGACUGGGACACGGCCCAGACUCCUACGGGAGGCAGCAGUGGGGAAUGUUGGACAAUGGGCGCAAGCCUGAUCCAGCAAUGCCGCGUGCAGGAUGAAGGCCUUCGGGUUGUAAACUGCUUUUGUACGGAGCGAAAAGGCUCUCUCUAAUACAGGGGGCUCAUGACGGUACCGUAAGAAUAAGCACCGGCUAACUACGUGCCAGCCGCCGCAGUAA
rnacentral:rRNA from 1 species